UACAGAGGGGGCAAGCGUUGUUCGGAAUUACUGGGCGUAAAGGGCGCGUAGGCGGCCUGUUAAGUCGAACGUGAAAUCCCCGGGCUCAACCCGGGAACUGCGUCCGAUACUGGCAGGCUUGAAUCCGGGAGAGGGAUGUGGAAUUCCAGGUGUAGCGGUGAAAUGCGUAGAUAUCUGGAGGAACACCGGUGGCGAAGGCGGCAUCCUGGACCGGUAUUGACGCUGAGGCGCGAAAGCCAGGGGGAGCAAAACGGG
rnacentral:rRNA from 1 species